GAUGAACGCUAGCUACAGGCUUAACACAUGCAAGUCGAGGGGCAGCAUUAUGGUAGCUUGCUAUCAUAGAUGGCGACCGGCGCACGGGUGAGUAACGCGUAUCCAACCUGCCAUUGUCCCGCGCAUAACCCGGUGAAAACCGGACUAAUUCGCGAUGUGUCCCGUUGAGGCAUCGAUUCGGGAUGAAAGUUUUGUCGGACAUUGAUGGGGAUGCGUCUGAUUAGCUUGCCGGCGGGGUAACGGCCCACCGGGGCGACGAUCAGUAGGGGUUCUGAGAGGAAGGUGCCCCACAGUGGAACUGAGACACGGUCCAAACUCCGACGGGAGGCAGCAGGGAGGAAUAUUGGUCAAGGGGCGCGAGCCUGAACCAGCCAAGUAGCGUGCAGGAUGACGGCCCUACGGGUUGUAAACUGCUUUUAUGCGGGGAUAAAGUGGCGCACGUGUGCGUUUUUGCAGGUACCGCAUGAAUAAGGACCGGCUAAUUCCGUGCCAGCAGCCGCCGUAA
rnacentral:rRNA from 1 species